rnacentral:rRNA from 1 species
GACGAACGCUGGCGGCGUGCUUAACACAUGCAAGUCGAACGGAAAGGCCUGCUUUCCCUUGUGGAUUGCGGGUACUCGAGUGGCGAACGGGUGAGUAACACGUGAGUGAUCUGCCCCCAACUUGGGUAUAAGCCUGGGAAACUGGGUCUAAUUCCCGAUAGGACUGCAGGGUGGUGCCUGUGGUGGAAAACGAUUUUCUAGUGGUUGGGGAUGAGCUCGCGGCCUAUCAGCUUGUUGGUGGGGUAAUGGCCUACCAAGGCGGCGACGGGUAGCCGGCCUGAGAGGGUGGACGGCCACAUUGGGACUGAGAUACGGCCCAGACUCCUACGGGAGGCAGCAGUGGGGAAUAUUGCACAAUGGGCGGAAGCCUGAUGCAGCGACGCCGCGUGGGGGAUGACGGCCUUCGGGUUGUAAACUCCUUUCGACCGCGAGGAAGCCACCUGGUUCGAAGGGUGGUGACGGUAGUGGUAGAAGAAGCACCGGCUAACUACGUG